rnacentral:rRNA from 1 species
AGAGUUUGAUCCUGGCUCAGGAUGAACGCUGGCGGCGUGCUUAACACAUGCAAGUCGAACGAACCUUCGGGUUAGUGGCGGACGGGUGAGUAACGCGUGGGAAUCUGCCCUCAGGAGGGGGAUAACGGUUGGAAACGACCGCUAAUACCCCAUAUGCCGAGAGGUGAAAUGAAUUUCGCCUGAGGAUGAGCCCGCGUCUGAUUAGCUAGUUGGUGAGGUAAAGGCUCACCAAGGCUUCGAUCAGUAGCUGGUCUGAGAGGAUGAUCAGCCACACUGGGACUGAGACACGGCCCAGACUCCUACGGGAGGCAGCAGUGGGGAAUUUUCCGCAAUGGGCGAAAGCCUGACGGAGCAACGCCGCGUGAGGGAUGAAGGCCUCUGGGCUGUAAACCUCUUUUCUCAAGGAAGAAGAUAUGACGGUACUUGAGGAAUAAGCCACGGCUAAUUCCGUGCCAGCAGCCGCGGUAAUACGGGAGUGGCAAGCGUUAUCCGGAAUUAUUGGGCGUAAAGCGUCCGCAGGCGGCCUUUCAAGUCUGCUGUUAAAGCGUGGAGCUUAACUCCAUCUAGGCAGUGGAAACUGAUGGGCUUGAGUGUGGUAGGGGCAGAGGGAAUUCCCGGUGUAGCGGUGAAAUGCGUAGAUAUCGGGAAGAACACCAGUGGCGAAGGCGCUCUGCUGGGCCAUAACUGACGCUCAUGGACGAAAGCCAGGGGAGCGAAAGGGAUUAGAUACCCCUGUAGUCCUGGCCGUAAACGAUGAACACUAGGUGUCGGGGGAAUCGACCCCCUCGGUGUCGUAGCCAACGCGUUAAGUGUUCCGCCUGGGGAGUACGCACGCAAGUGUGAAACUCAAAGGAAUUGACGGGGGCCCGCACAAGCGGUGGAGUAUGUGGUUUAAUUCGAUGCAACGCGAAGAACCUUACCAGGGUUUGACAUCCUGCGAACCUCUAAGAAAUUAGAGGGUGCCUUCGGGAGCGCAGUGACAGGUGGUGCAUGGCUGUCGUCAGCUCGUGUCGUGAGAUGUUGGGUUAAGUCCCGCAACGAGCGCAACCCACGUUUUUAGUUGCCAGCAUUCAGUUGGGCACUCUAGAGAGACCGCCGGUGAUAAACCGGAGGAAGGUGUGGAUGACGUCAAGUCAUCAUGCCCCUUACAUCCUGGGCUACACACGUACUACAAUGCUACGGACAAAGGGCAGCAAACUCGCGAGAGCAAGCAAAUCCCAUAAACCGUGGCUCAGUUCAGAUCGUAGGCUGCAACUCGCCUACGUGAAGCAGGAAUCGCUAGUAAUCGCAGGUCAGCAUACUGCGGUGAAUACGUUCCCGGGCCUUGUACACACCGCCCGUCACACCAUGGAAGUUGGCCACGCCCGAAGUCGUUACUCCAACCCUUGUGGAGGAGGACGCCGAAGGUGGGGCUGAUGACUGGGGUGAAGUCGUAACAAGGUAGCCGUACCGGAAGGUGCGGCUG